CCGCCGCGGUAAUACCAGCUCUCCGAGUGGUGUGGAUGUUUAUUGGGCCUAAAGCAUCCGUAGCUGGCUAGGUCAGUCCCUUGUUAAAUCCACCGAAUUAAUCGUUGGAUUGCGGGGGAUACUGCUUGGCUAGGGGACGAGAGAGGCAGACGGUAUUUUCGGGGUAGGGGUGAAAUCCUAUAAUCCCGGGAAGACCACCAGUGGCGAAGGC
rnacentral:rRNA from 1 species